GCCAGAAUGGUGUAAUGGUUUGAACGUUGGACUAGAACUCUAGAGACCAGGGUUCAAAUACCAGUUUGGACA